GUGCUUGCUUUGGCUGCACAUAUACUAAAAUUGGAACAGUACAGAGGUUAUCAUGGCCCCUGUGCAAGGAUGACAUGCAAAUUUGUGAAGUGUUCCAUGUUUAA
ensembl:snRNA U6 U6 spliceosomal RNA